GUGGGGAAUAUUGGACAAUGGGCGCAAGCCUGAUCCAGCCAUGCCGCGUGAGUGAUGAAGGCCUUCGGGUUGUAAAGCUCUUUAGUCCACGAAUAUAAUGACUGUAGUGGAAGAAUAAGCCCCGGCUAACUUCGUGCCAGCAGCCGCGGUAAUACGAAGGGGGCGAGCGUUAUUCGGAAUCACUGGGCGUAAAGCGUGCGUAGGCUGUUUUGUAAGUCAGAAGUGAAAGCCCAGGGCUUAACCCUGGAAUUGCUUUUGAAACUACAAGACUCGAAUUCGGGAGAGGAUAGCGGAAUUGUCAGUGUAGCAGUGAAAUGCGUAGAUAUUGACAGGAACACCAGUGGCGCAAGCGGCUAUCUGGACCGAUAUUGACGCUGAGGCACGAAAGCGUGGGGAGCAAACAGGAUUAGAUACCCCGGUAGUCC
rnacentral:rRNA from 1 species